UAUCUUCUCCCAUUCUGUCAGUUGUCUUUUGGUUUUUUUUGGAUAGCUCUUUCAGUUUUGCCCAAAACCUGGUUAUUAGGAAUGGCUGGUCCACUCUGGUAGUCCCCAGUUGACCUGCGGCUUUUCACUGAUUUUCAUCGCCAAAUCCUUCUGAAUCAGCCCCUUGUUCUGCCGGCCCUGCUGGAUCACCUUGCCCACCUCCAGGGUAUCUGGUCUUGGUACAGCUUCUC